rnacentral:rRNA from 1 species
GACGAACCGUGCGAACGUUAUUCGGAAUCACUGGGCUUAAAGCGCGUGUAGGCGGGCCGCCGCGUCGGCUGCUGAAAUCCCCCGGCUCAACCGGGGAACGGGCACCGAUACGGGCGGCCUCGAGGGGGGUAGGGGGGACUGGAACUUCCGGUGGAGCGGUGAAAUGCGUUGAGAUCGGAAGGAACGCCCGUGGCGAAAGCGAGUCCCUGGACCCUUUCUGACGCUGAGACGCGAAAGCCGGGGAGCGAACGGG